AGAGUGUAGUGUAAUGGUAGCACUAAGAAUUUUGAAUUCUUAAGUUUAGGUUCAAAUCCUAAGGUUCUAG
rnacentral:tRNA from 1 species